UGUUGGUGGGAUUGUGGGGGAAGUAGAGGCUGACAUCUACAAUAAGUGGGUAGUGCUAUCGUGGAGGUUAGUUUGACAGUUACCUGUCGAUAUGGCAAGUGCUGACACUCUUUGACCCGGCCGUUCCUUCUCCAAGUAUCUAUUCUAGAGAAAAACCUAUCACAGACGCACUAGACAACAUGAAUAAGGACAUUUGUUGCAGUGUCAAUAAACUUUUAAAAAGGAAUAAACCAACUGUCUAUAGGGGAUUGGCCUGAGAACUCAGUCACAUUGUUCAGGUAAAAAAAAUCUCAAAACACAUCCUUGAAGAACCUUUCUCCAACCCCUGUCUUCCAUCUGCUAGUCCCCACCUCUCCCAUGGUAGGCAACAACUACCAUCAUCCAUUUCUAGACUGUCCUUCUAGAAAUUUCUUCUAUGCCUAUAGAAGCAACUGUGAAUACAUCUUUCCCCCUUUUUAGACAAAUAGUUGUGUACUAUCAUGCAUUUCUACACUUUGCUGUUUUAUCACGAGGUAUAUUGUACACAACGAAGAGUGAUGGGUACAUUUGUAUUUUUUAAAGAGCAACAUAAAGACGUCCCCAGUGCACCCGUUCUCUAGCUAAAGAAAUAGGUUGUGUCUAGUGCCUGGUGUUGCAUGGCUCCCCAAGAAGGCUGUUCCAGUUUAUGCUCCCACUUAGGAUUUGUGUGAGUUUGCAAAAAGGAUAAAGACUUGAGAUGGUUUUGCUUGUUCAAGGUCCCGAGUGAGUAGGCGCUUUCUGUUCAGCCCCAGGCCUCUGCUCAGUGGGGUGGAGACCACAGCCUGGAGGAGAGGGAUGGAGGCAGGUUUUGGGGGGCUGGGUGUGAGGGGCCCGCCAUGAGGCCCCUGUCUUGGAGGUCCCUGGAUGGAUAGCCCUGGAAGCUGGGAGCCAGCUAGAAGCUUGCUGGGGAAUCCCCUGUGUGGGAGGUGUGGGGGGCCCUUCAAACAACCACUUUUCAACCAAAUGAGCAAAUGCUUCCCCUCUCUCAUCCAGGGAUGGUAAUUUUUCUAGGGUGAAAAAUGAAUUCUCCCAGGAAGCUUUCCUGCCAGAGACCCUGGAGCCUUAAAUUUACUGCUUGCCUUCUGUGCUGACGGAACUGAGCCUCAAGAUUUAUAUCCAGGGGUUUGUGGGCAGCUGGCUCUGGGCCGGCGGGAGUCCUGAAGGGCAGGCAGGCUGAACCACAGAGCUCACUAAACAACUCUUGACUGAGUGCCAACAGUUUGUUGGGACCAGAGCAGUGACUAAGACCUCAGUGAACUCUGCCCUCCAGGAACUCACAGACAGAGCUAACGGUCUCCCAGGUUGGGUGCAGGAGCCAUGCCCAGGACAGUCUCCUGAGGAGGAGGUUGGGAACAAAUAUGAAGAGCUUCCAUUUACAUUUAUCUUCUAUCACAGUUUAAUUUGUUUCUCUUUUUGGGUAUGUUGUAUAAUGUGCAUGAUAUGCAAAUAUAGUAAUACAUGGCUACUUUAUGAA
rnacentral:lncRNA from 1 species